CUGACUAACAGCAUGCGACUUAAGGAAGUGAAUCAGUGAUGAGGUUAUUGAGGUCAGCAGAAGGAGGAGGUGCGGAAAAUUUAGGAAUAUCUUUAUGAGCUUUUUUACUUUUUGAUACGAUUAAAGUUUCUUCAUCUACAUCUGAAGAAGAAUCCGAGGAAUCAUCAACGUCGGAUGUAUUUUUUUGACCGUGCUGUAAUAAGGCAUUCGUGAUCGUAGGAAACGCCAAUCCAAUUCGAGAAAUUCGAUUUAAAAAAGAAGGGAUAGGGCUGCCCGUAAGUUCAAUUGCUGCAGCAUUCGUGAAAUGAUUGCAAUUUCUCUCUAAUAAAGAAUAUGAUAACCCCGUAAAUUCUUGACUCAAACGAAUCAAAAUUCUAUCCACGUCGGGUUUAGGGAGGGUACAAUUAGGUAAAGCAAUAGAACAGCGCCAUCUACACCCUUCUAAAGGCGGUCUUGGCAUGGUAGCAAACACACCGGUGGAGCCAGGAAUUUCGUGUGCUCCGAACGCAUAUUCUUUACCUUCUAAAACCAAUCCUGUAUGGUAAAUACCAAGUCCAAGAGUCCAUGCUAGUUUGUUUACCGGACUGUCUGGCAUUAGAUCAUACACAUUAAUGUAUACUUUCAUAUUCGAAUACGUUCGGAUGGCGAAGAACAACUUGCAAAUUUCCUUGGUCCUCCUUAAGCAGGUUGAAUUUUAAGAUUCGAUACCUGUACAAUUAAGUAUUUUUAAUAAAAAAAAGUAGAGUCGAAUUAAGGAUAAAAAUUUAAAAUACGGGAGCUGUUUAUGGUGGUGAUUUUGUUUACAUCGGUACGACUAUGACAAUGUUAAAAUAAUCAAAACAUAGUACGUUUCUUCAAUAUUGAAUACCUUUAGCUAAAUUCACUACGAUAGCAAUCGCAAUGAAAUGGGUUUAAUUGCAUACAA